CAUCAGGGCAAUAUCUGCUUUGAUCUACAAUGUGCUCAAAGCAUUCAUGGAGAUGAACAGCGCCUUGUUUGACGAACUCGCCGCCAAUUACAAAUCAGACAGGCAAAGGGAAAGGAAGAAGGACAAGGAGCGUGAGGACCUAUGGAGGAUGCUGGAGGAGCUGGAGCUCAGACGGGGCAUCCAGAACAGUGACGGCGUCAUUCCCACCUAACACGGACCUCGUUUCCGCCCUUCUGUGUGGCCCCAACAAUCCCUUUUUACUCUGCCACAGGGACCCUGUCCCCUAUUUGCUUCUCAUGCUGCGUACUUUACCGCACACUCCCUCGUUCAUUUCCUCCCUUUCAACAGCACUGUAAAUAAUCCUCUCCCUCUUUCCUGUAUCAUACUACUACACUGAAAGGAAGAAGAAAAAACAGAAAAUUUGAAGAGAGACUUAAUGUGCACUCCUUGUUGUAAAAAAUAUGGUAAAAUGAUAAUCAACUAUGGUCAAAGGAUAUAUUUUAAAAAACCUUUUCAGUUCAGAAAUUGUUCAGCGUCUCCAUGUCAGUAUAUUGUUCUCAAGGAAGUGCCCUGGGACUUUGGGAUCUGUGCUCACCCUGCAAUUAAAGAUGUCUUAUGUGAGGA